AUAUGAAUUACUUGAGGAUCCUGUUAACAUUCAGAUUCAGUAAAUGUGAAAUGAGACCUGAGAUUCUUUUCUAGCAAGCUCCUGGGUGAUGCUUAU
rnacentral:pre_miRNA from 1 species